AUCUGUUCUGCGUAAGGGAUAGAUGCGGCAUCCUUUUUUGUUUUUGGAAUGGGUUGCGGAUUGGCAAAACAAAAAAGAUAAAGAGGAUAGCCCGACCCGCU
rnacentral:sRNA from 1 species